rnacentral:rRNA from 1 species
GGGUUGUGAGGUUAAGCGACUAAGCGUACACGGUGGAUGCCCUGGCAGUCAGAGGCGAUGAAGGACGUGCUAAUCUGCGAUAAGCGUCGGUAAGGUGAUAUGAACCGUUAUAACCGGCGAUUUCCGAAUGGGGAAACCCAGUGUGUUUCGACACACUAUCAUUAACUGAAUCCAUAGGUUAAUGAGGCGAACCGGGGGAACUGAAACAUCUAAGUACCCCGAGGAAAAGAAAUCAACCGAGAUUCCCCCAGUAGCGGCGAGCGAACGGGGAGCAGCCCAGAGCCUGAAUCAGUGUGUGUGUUAGUGGAAGCGUCUGGAAAGGCGCGCGAUACAGGGUGACAGCCCCGUACACAAAAAUGCACAUAUUGUGAGCUCGAUGAGUAGGGCGGGACACGUGGUAUCCUGUCUGAAUAUGGGGGGACCAUCCUCCAAGGCUAAAUACUCCUGACUGACCGAUAGUGAACCAGUACCGUGAGGGAAAGGCGAAAAGAACCCCGGCGAGGGGAGUGAAAAAGAACCUGAAACCGUGUACGUACAAGCAGUGGGAGCCUCUUUAUGGGGUGACUGCGUACCUUUUGUAUAAUGGGUCAGCGACUUAUAUUCUGUAGCAAGGUUAACCGAAUAGGGGAGCCGAAGGGAAACCGAGUCUUAACUGGGCGUUAAGUUGCAGGGUAUAGACCCGAAACCCGGUGAUCUAGCCAUGGGCAGGUUGAAGGUUGGGUAACACUAACUGGAGGACCGAACCGACUAAUGUUGAAAAAUUAGCGGAUGACUUGUGGCUGGGGGUGAAAGGCCAAUCAAACCGGGAGAUAGCUGGUUCUCCCCGAAAGCUAUUUAGGUAGCGCCUCGUGAAUUCAUCUCCGGGGGUAGAGCACUGUUUCGGCAAGGGGGUCAUCCCGACUUACCAACCCGAUGCAAACUGCGAAUACCGGAGAAUGUUAUCACGGGAGACACACGGCGGGUGCUAACGUCCGUCGUGAAGAGGGAAACAACCCAGACCGCCAGCUAAGGUCCCAAAGUCAUGGUUAAGUGGGAAACGAUGUGGGAAGGCCCAGACAGCCAGGAUGUUGGCUUAGAAGCAGCCAUCAUUUAAAGAAAGCGUAAUAGCUCACUGGUCGAGUCGGCCUGCGCGGAAGAUGUAACGGGGCUAAACCAUGCACCGAAGCUGCGGCAGCGACGCUUAUGCGUUGUUGGGUAGGGGAGCGUUCUGUAAGCCUGUGAAGGUGUACUGUGAGGUAUGCUGGAGGUAUCAGAAGUGCGAAUGCUGACAUAAGUAACGAUAAAGCGGGUGAAAAGCCCGCUCGCCGGAAGACCAAGGGUUCCUGUCCAACGUUAAUCGGGGCAGGGUGAGUCGACCCCUAAGGCGAGGCCGAAAGGCGUAGUCGAUGGGAAACAGGUUAAUAUUCCUGUACUUGGUGUUACUGCGAAGGGGGGACGGAGAAGGCUAUGUUGGCCGGGCGACGGUUGUCCCGGUUUAAGCGUGUAGGCUGGUUUUCCAGGCAAAUCCGGAAAAUCAAGGCUGAGGCGUGAUGACGAGGCACUACGGUGCUGAAGCAACAAAUGCCCUGCUUCCAGGAAAAGCCUCUAAGCAUCAGGUAACAUCAAAUCGUACCCCAAACCGACACAGGUGGUCAGGUAGAGAAUACCAAGGCGCUUGAGAGAACUCGGGUGAAGGAACUAGGCAAAAUGGUGCCGUAACUUCGGGAGAAGGCACGCUGAUAUGUAGGUGAAGUCCCUCGCGGAUGGAGCUGAAAUCAGUCGAAGAUACCAGCUGGCUGCAACUGUUUAUUAAAAACACAGCACUGUGCAAACACGAAAGUGGACGUAUACGGUGUGACGCCUGCCCGGUGCCGGAAGGUUAAUUGAUGGGGUUAGCGGUAACGCGAAGCUCUUGAUCGAAGCCCCGGUAAACGGCGGCCGUAACUAUAACGGUCCUAAGGUAGCGAAAUUCCUUGUCGGGUAAGUUCCGACCUGCACGAAUGGCGUAAUGAUGGCCAGGCUGUCUCCACCCGAGACUCAGUGAAAUUGAACUCGCUGUGAAGAUGCAGUGUACCCGCGGCAAGACGGAAAGACCCCGUGAACCUUUACUAUAGCUUGACACUGAACAUUGAGCCUUGAUGUGUAGGAUAGGUGGGAGGCUUAGAAGUGUGGACGCCAGUCUGCAUGGAGCCGACCUUGAAAUACCACCCUUUAAUGUUUGAUGUUCUAACGUGGACCCGUAAUCCGGGUUGCGGACAGUGUCUGGUGGGUAGUUUGACUGGGGCGGUCUCCUCCUAAAGAGUAACGGAGGAGCACGAAGGUUGGCUAAUCCUGGUCGGACAUCAGGAGGUUAGUGCAAUGGCAUAAGCCAGCUUGACUGCGAGCGUGACGGCGCGAGCAGGUGCGAAAGCAGGUCAUAGUGAUCCGGUGGUUCUGAAUGGAAGGGCCAUCGCUCAACGGAUAAAAGGUACUCCGGGGAUAACAGGCUGAUACCGCCCAAGAGUUCAUAUCGACGGCGGUGUUUGGCACCUCGAUGUCGGCUCAUCACAUCCUGGGGCUGAAGUAGGUCCCAAGGGUAUGGCUGUUCGCCAUUUAAAGUGGUACGCGAGCUGGGUUUAGAACGUCGUGAGACAGUUCGGUCCCUAUCUGCCGUGGGCGCUGGAGAACUGAGGGGGGCUGCUCCUAGUACGAGAGGACCGGAGUGGACGCAUCACUGGUGUUCGGGUUGUCAUGCCAAUGGCACUGCCCGGUAGCUAAAUGCGGAAGAGAUAAGUGCUGAAAGCAUCUAAGCACGAAACUUGCCCCGAGAUGAGUUCUCCCUGACUCCUUGAGAGUCCUGAAGGAACGUUGAAGACGACGACGUUGAUAGGCCGGGUGUGUAAGCGCAGCGAUGCGUUGAGCUAACCGGUACUAAUGAACCGUGAGGCUUAACCUUACAACGCCGAAGCUGUU